GUGAACGCACCACGAGUUCGGUCCUUACAGGGGGCAUCAAUUUCGGCAAAGCUGAUCUGAACUCAAGUCGGUCGUGUUGCAUACAUCGACAGGCAUCGCGUGAGUGGGAUCGGUUGCGAGGCGCCACAGCAUCAUGGCAUUGGAUGUAUGGCCGGGAUAAAGAGGUGACCCCUUUCAUUCUGCAGAGUAAGUGGCUCUGCAGACAUUGUGGCCGGGCCCUGAUGCAGCGCGCAAGUAACCGUAGGCCGCACCCUUGCAUCCACCACCGUGGACCAAACGCUUUCGAUGCACAGGCAUGGUAGUACAAAGUUUGCUCCAUCAGUAUCAGCUUAAAGAAGAGUGCAGCGUGUCUAUGGCAUCGGGUGCCUUCCGCCUGCUAUGCGUGGCUGUUCGAACCAUAGGCAAGACUGAAAGGUAUGAUCUUAAUACUAGAAACGAAACACGAAUAGUGUCCUGAGCACAGCGUUCAACAGUGAUACAGUUCGGUGCCUUAGGCGCAACACGUUUUCCUAGAGACCGUCAAAACAGUGCUUAAGACCGCUGUCGGUGCUUCACGU